rnacentral:rRNA from 1 species
UAGGGAAUCUUCCGCAAUGGACGCAAGUCUGACGGAGCAACGCCGCGUGAGUGAGGAAGGUUUUCGGAUCGUAAAACUCUGUUGUUAGAGAAGAACAAGUGCUAGAGUAACUGUUAGCGCCUUGACGGUAUCUAACCAGAAAGCCACGGCUAACUACGUGCCAGCAGCCGCGGUAAUACGUAGGUGGCAAGCGUUGUCCGGAUUUAUUGGGCGUAAAGCGAGCGCAGGCGGUUCCUUAAGUCUGAUGUGAAAGCCCCCAGCUCAACCGGGGAGGGUCAUUGGAAACUGGGGAACUUGAGUGCAGAAGAGGAGAGUGGAAUUCCAUGUGUAGCGGCGAAAUGCGUAGAUAUAUGGAGGAACACCAGUGGCGAAGGCGACUCUCUGGUCUGUAACUGACGCUGAGGCUCGAAAGCGUGGGUAGCAAACAGGAUUAGAUACCCUGGUAGUCCACGCCGUAAACGAUGAGUGCUAAGUGUUGGAGGGUUUCCGCCCUUCAGUGCUGCAGUUAACGCAUUAAGCACUCCGCCUGGGGAGUACGACCGCAAGGUUG